rnacentral:tRNA from 1 species
GCUCAGUAGGUUAAGCACCCAACUCUUGAUUUCGGCUCAAGUCAUGAUCUCCCAGUUUGUGGGUUCAAGCCCCGCACUGGGCU